UAAGUAAACCGUUCUAUCGCUUUUCAUUUAGUGGAAAGAGGAAAGUCCGGGCAGCAAAGGGCACCGUGCUUCCGAAAGGGAAGAUAUCCGUGAGGGUAUAGUAAGGCAGAAGAAAAUAACCGUCACGCUUUAUGCGUGAUAAGGGUGAGAAGGUGGGGUAAGAGCCCACCAGUACGUUGGGUAACCAAUGUAGCUGUGUCUCUGGCGGGCUGAAAGGCCAUGUACAUCCCAAGUCUGAGCAAUCAGAGCAAAACGGCCCGUUUUGUUUGGUAACAAGUUGGGAGGGGUAGGCCGAUAGUGGUUCCGGGUGACCGGAAUCCCAGAUAAAUGGUAGAACCCUUUCGGGGGACAGAAUCCGGCUUAUAGGUUUACUUAUUUU
rnacentral:RNase_P_RNA from 8 species